rnacentral:rRNA from 1 species
UGGGGAAUAUUGCACAAUGGAGGGAACUCUGAUGCAGCGACGCCGCGUGAGUGAUGAAGGAAUUCGUUUCGUAAAACUCUGUUCUAUGGGAAGAAAAGGACUGUACCAUAGGAGAAAGCUCCGGCUAAAUACGUGCCAGCAGCCGCGGUAAUACGUAUGGAGCGAGCGUUGUCCGGAAUUAUUGGGCGUAAAGGGUGCGCAGGCGGCUUUACAAGUUGGAUGUGAAAUAUUGUGGCUCAACCACAAACGUGCAUCCAAAACUGCAAAGCUUGAGUUAAGGAGAGGUAAGUGGAAUUCCUGGUGUAGCGGUGGAAUGCGUAGAUAUCAGGAGGAAUACCGGUGGCGAAGGCGACUUACUGGACUUAACCUGACGCUCAGGCACGAAAGCGUGGGGAGCAAACAGG